CUCUGGAGCUUUUGGCCGACAAGUGUGAACAGGACUCUGGCGUCCUUAAGGCUUGGGCGACGCUCCGGAGGCGAGCGGGCUCAGGCGAGAGGCACUACCCCUUCGCAGCUUGGGUUGUGAACAUAUUGCAUCCUGGAAAGAAGGCACAUUCUACCCUGGCUGGAGCUGACCUGGAGGUGCAGCCCUUUCUCCCCAUUUGGAGCUGCCUAUUAUCAUGGAAAGAUUCACAAAGAUUUGUUGCAGAAACCAGAAUCGCCAGCCCUUUGAAGAUCCCCAACCCUUUUGCACACCUGCAGGCUUUGCAGACCUCCAGCCUGCUCACCUGUUAACUGCCUAUCUGGCACCCCCUCUGGCUAUUUCCCCAUGUAACCCUAACCCUUGCAUAGCGCUAAGCCCUAUGAAGACCCCUAGUCCUUUUGCAUAUCUGCAAACUGCUCUUUUGCUUUUGUGCUUUUGCUAUGUACGCAACUGGCUUAUGGUGGGGUGCAGAGCAGAUUUCUGUGGCUGACCUGCUGCUCUCUCAUACUGCGGGCAGUACUGGAAUAAAUGCUCAUCUAUGAUUCA